GACGAACGCUGGCGGCGUGCUUAACACAUGCAAGUCGAACGGAAAGGCCCUGCUUUUGUGGGGUGCUCGAGUGGCGAACGGGUGAGUAACACGUGAGUAACCUGCCCUUGACUUUGGGAUAACUUCAGGAAACUGGGGCUAAUACCGGAUAGGAGCUCCUGCUGCAUGGUGGGGGUUGGAAAGUUUCGGCGGUUGGGGAUGGACUCGCGGCUUAUCAGCUUGUUGGUGGGGUAGUGGCUUACCAAGGCUUUGACGGGUAGCCGGCCUUAGAGGGUGACCGGCCACAUUGGGACUGAAAUACGGCCCAGACUCCUACGGGAGGCAGCAGUGGGGAAUAUUGCACAAUGGGCGGAAGCCUGAUGCAGCAACGCCGCGUGCGAGAUGACGGCCUUCGGGUUGUAAACCGCUUUCGCCUGUUACGAAGCGUGAGUGACGGUAAUGGGUAAAGAAGCACCGGCUAACUACGUG
rnacentral:rRNA from 1 species